UCAAAUCAAAAUUAACCCAAUCCAAUUAAAUUGCAAACAAAAAUAUGCAAAAGAAUGAAGAAAAAUGCAUCACCAUAUUCUCGUUUGUGUGAGAGAAAUUGGGCGUCGAUAAGUAUCGAGGAAGGUAAAGUGCGCCUAAAAACCUUGAAAUACUGACGGGCUAAGAAAAUUGUUGCAUUUAUUUCCCGGGCAGUGGCAGGCCGAACCGGGCCCGUAUGCCGGCUCCAAUUCUGAAUCUCUAGAAACAGAUAAAGUACAAAAAUAAUAAAGAAAUAAAAAUUACAAGGUGUAUUCAAUUGUGAGCCCUAUUUGAUUUUCAUUCUUUUUUUAUUAAAAUAAAAAAUAUGAUCGUUAUCCAUCACAUCAAACCAUUAAAUUUGAAUUUCUAUCUCUUGUGUGGGAUCCGUAAAGACUAUAUUUUUCAUUCUAAUUUUUUUCAAAAAUGAAAAACCAACGAAGACUAAAUUUUGAAAAUUUUUAUGGACUUGUUAGACUUUCAGGGUUUCAUGGACUAUCGAGGAAGGUAAAGUGCGCCUAAAAACCUUGAAAUACUGACGGGCUAAGAAAAUUGUUGCAUUUAUUUCCCGGGCAGUGGCAGGCCGAACCGGGCCCGUAUGCCGGCUCCAAUUCUGAAUCUCUAGAAACAGAU
rnacentral:lncRNA from 1 species